ensembl:lincRNA Gm44837 predicted gene 44837
UUGCAGCAGGGUGUGGUGGGUACUCCUGAAAUCCCAGCAGGUGGGAGGGGAAUGCAGGAAAAUCAGGAGUUCAAGGCCAUCCUCAGCUACCUAGCCAAGAAGCAUAAUUUCACACAGGUUUGGAGCUCUACCUGGGAGACUUGGGACAGGAGGAUCACAAGUUGAAGGCCAGCCUAGGGAACUUAGAGCCUGUCUUAAAAGGUAAAAGGGGGCUGGGUGUGCCCAAGGACCUAGGUUCAACUCUACUAUCCCUCCUCACUCCCCAAACAAAAUAACAAAAACAGACAAGCAAACACGAUUUUUUUUUACAACAACCAAAGCGUCUGAAUUUCCAGGGAAAUGCUGUGCUCCUGCGGUGAUCCUGUCAAAAUACCCUUCUAAAUGAUCUAUGUACUCUCCUUAAAGCAUAGAGACUGAACAUCUCGCCAGAGUCUCUCCAUGAAAUACCAGCAUUACUCUCACAGCUCCCUUGUAAACCUCAGAACUAAUUAUUCUCUAUAAGCAACUGGACGGAGAGCUGGGAUCGCACGGCCCCCCACCAGACCUCUGCCAGUCCAGAACCAGGGAAAGAUACAGCAGGUGGCCCCACCACUGCCCCGUGCAUGAACUCAAAGCCAGUUCACAACAUUAGUAAUACCUUUUGGAAAGUGAGUUUUUUAAAAAAGCUAUGACUUGAUUGUGUUCCUUAGAAACAAUAAAAGAUAUUUUAUAAAUGAUAA